rnacentral:rRNA from 1 species
GACAGAGGGUGCAAACGUUGUUCGGAAUUACUGGGCGUAAAGCGCGUGUAGGCUGCUUCGCAAGUCGGGUGUGAAAGCCCUGGGCUCAACCUAGGAAGUGCACUCGAAACUGCGAAGCUUGAGUCCUGGAGAGGAAGGCGGAAUUCUCGGUGUAGAGGUGAAAUUCGUAGAUAUCGAGAGGAACACCGGUGGCGAAGGCGGCUUUCUGGACGAUUACUGACGCUGAGACGCGAAAGCGUGGGGAGCAAACAGG